rnacentral:rRNA from 1 species
GAUGAACGCUAGCGGCAGGCUUAACACAUGCAAGUCGAGGGGCAGCGCGGGAUAGCAAUAUCCUGGCGGCGACCGGCGGAAGGGUGCGUAACGCGUGAGCGACAUGCCCGUUGCCCGGGGACAACCGGUGGAAACGCCGACUAAUCCCCGAUGGGAUAUUGUGCCGCAUGGCACGAUAUUGAAAGUUACGGCGGCGACGGAUUGGCUCGCGUCCGAUUAGCUUGUUGGCGGGGUAACGGCCCACCAAGGCUGCGAUCGGUAGGGGUUCUGAGAGGAAGGCCCCCCACAAUGGGACGGAGACACGGCCCAUACUCAUACGGGAGGCAGCAGUGAGGAAUAUGGGUCAAUGGGCGGAAGCCUGAACCAGCCAUGCCGCGUGCGGGAAGGAGGCCCUAUGGGCUGUGAACCGCUUUUGCCUGGGGGAAAUAAGGGCGUCGCGCACGUCCGAUGAGAGUACCAGGCGAAUAAGCAUCGGCUAACUCCGUG